rnacentral:rRNA from 1 species
GGGGAAUAUUGCACAAUGGGCGCAAGCCUGAUGCAGCCAUGCCGCGUGUGUGAAGAAGGCCUUCGGGUUGUAAAGCACUUUCAGCGGGGAGGAAGGCGGUGAGGUUAAUAACCUUGUCGAUUGACGUUACCCGCAGAAGAAGCACCGGCUAACUCCGUGCCAGCAGCCGCGGUAAUACGGAGGGUGCAAGCGUUAAUCGGAAAUACUGGGCGUAAAGCGCACGCAGGCGGUCUGUCAAGUAGGAUGUGAAAUCCCCGGGCUCAACCUGGGAACUGCAUCCGAAACUGGCAGGCUAGAGUCUUGUAGAGGGGGGUAGAAUUCCAGGUGUAGCGGUGAAAUGCGUAGAGAUCUGGAGGAAUACCGGUGGCGAAGGCGGCCCCCUGGACAAAGACUGACGCUCAGGUGCGAAAGCGUGGGGAGCAAAC